rnacentral:rRNA from 1 species
UACGUAGGGUGCAAGCGUUGUCCGGAAUUAUUGGGCGUAAAGAGCUCGUAGGCUGUUCGAUAAGUCGGGUGUGAAACCUCCAGGCUCAACCUGGAGACGCCACCCGAUACUGUCAUGACUAGAGUCCGGUAGGGGAGCGUGGAAUUCCUGGUGUAGCGGUGAAAUGCGCAGAUAUCAGGAGGAACACCAGCGGCGAAGGCGGCGCUCUGGGCCGGUACUGACGCUGAGGAGCGAAAGCGUGGGUAGCAAACAGG